GCUGAAGCCUUCGUGCUGCCAAAAGCGCCGCAGACGCUUGUGUACAAGGAGGCCCUUCGGGGACCGUGCAGGUAAAAUGUUAACGCGGGAAACACGUGUUUCAAGUGCAGCUAUCAAAGGAGCCAGAUGCGAGCGGAGCGAGGCAGAGUAAACGACUGGCCCGGGACACCGCUGCUCAUCGCGGGGACCAUCGAGAGGCGCCUGGGAGGAAAGCAGACCUCACCCACAGGCAGCAGCCCACCAACAACAUUAACGAUAUCCAAAAUCGAGGGAGCAGGAUGUGGCACUAUUCCGCUGUUUUACUACAUAACAAAGCUACCAACAAGCAUCCAGAGAGCACCUGCAUAAAGAACCCAUGCUCUUCUCUAUAAACAAGCUGAAGCCUUUGAAGUGCAAGGUCAAAAUGAUCAAAGGGGAAAAAG